rnacentral:rRNA from 1 species
UACGUAGGCGGAUUCGCAGGCAUCUUGUGAAAUCCCUCCGCUCAACGGAGGAACUGCAGGGUGAACCGCGAGUCUUGAGACAGGUAGGGGCUGUCGGAACGCUAGGUGGAGUGGUGAAAUGCGUUGAUAUCUAGCGGAACGCCGAAGGAGAAAUCAGGCAGCUGGGCCUGUUCUGACGCUGAUGUACGAAAGCGUGGGGAGCGAACAGGAUUAGAUACCCUGGUAGUCC